GUCCAUGACACUUCGGUGUCGUGGACUUUGCGAAAGUGCCGGUAAUACCUGAUGAUCUGACCGCUUCGCAUGGAGUGGUUGGCAAAGGUCCGCUGGUUUCGGAGCGGUCCAAGUCCUAUCAGCUUGUUGGUGAGGUAACGGCUCACCAAGGCGACGACGGGUAUCGGGCGUGAGAGCGUGACCCGACACAUCGGAACUGAGACACUGUCCGGACACCUACGGGUGGCUGCAGCAACGAAUAUUCCGCAAUGGACGAAAGUCUGACGGAGCGACGCCGCGUGGAGGAUGAAGUUUUUCGGAAUGUAAACUCCUGUCAGGGGUUAGGAAGAUCUGACCAGCCCCAAAGGAAGCACCGGCUAAUUCCGUGCCAGCAGCCGCGGUAAUACGGAAGGUGCGAGCGUUGUUCGGAAUCACUGGGCUUAAAGAGCGUGUAGGCGGAAUGGUAGGUGCUUUGUGAAAUCCCUCGGCUCAACCGAGGAAUGGCUGGGCAAACCCCCAUUCUUGAGGCAGGUAGAGGCGACUGGAACCUUUGGUGGAGCGGUGAAAUGCGUAGAGAUCAAAGGGAACACCGGUGGCGAAGGCGAGUCGCUGGGCCUGUCCUGACGCUGAGACGCGAAAGCGUGGGUAGCGAACAGGAUUAGAUACCCUGGUAGUCCACGCCGUAAACGAUGCGCACUAGGUACGGGGUUCUCUGACGGAGUCCGUGCCGAAGCGAAAGCGAUAAGUGCGCCGCCUGGGGAGUACGGCCGCAAGGCUAAAACUCAAAGGAAUUGACGGGGGCUCACACAAGCGGUGGAGCAUGUG
rnacentral:rRNA from 1 species